GAUGAAGAACGCAGUAAAAUGCGAUAAGUAAUGUGAAUUGCAGAAUUCAGUGAAUCAUCGAAUCUUUGAACGCACAUUGCGCCCGCUGGUAUUCCGGCGGGCAUGCCUGUUCGAGCGUCAUUUCAACCCUCAAGCCCCCGGGUUUGGUGUUGGGGAUCGGCUCUGCACUUCUGGGCGGUGCCGCCCCCGAAAUACAUUGGCGGUCUCGCUGCAGCCUCCAUUGCGUAGUAGCUAACACCUCGCAACUGGAACGCGGCGCGGCCAUGCCGUAAAACCCCAACUUCUGAAUGUUGACCUCGGAUCAGGUAGGAAUACCCGCUGAACUUAAGCAUAUCAAUAAGCGGAGGA
rnacentral:misc_RNA from 1 species